GAUGAACGCUAGCUACAGGCUUAACACAUGCAAGUCGAGGGGAAACGAUAGAGAAAGCUUGCUUUUUCUAGGCGUCGACCGGCGCACGGGUGAGUAACGCGUAUCCAACCUGCCCAUCACUUGGGGAUAACCUUGCGAAAGUAAGACUAAUACCCAAUGACGUCUCUAGAAGACAUCUGAAAGAGAUUAAAGAUUUAUCGGUGAUGGAUGGGGAUGCGUCUGAUUAGCUUGUUGGCGGGGUAACGGCCCACCAAGGCGACGAUCAGUAGGGGGUCUGAGAGAAAGGUCCCCCACAUUGGAACUGAGACACGGUCCAAACUCCUACGGAAGGCAGCAGUGAGGAAUAUUGGUCAAUGGGCGAGAGCCUGAACCAGCCAAGUAGCGUGCAGGAUGACGGCCCUAUGGGUUGUAAACUGCUUUUAUAAGGGAAUAAAGUGAGUCUCGUGAGACUUUUUGCAUGUACCUUAUGAAUAAGGACCGGCUAAUUCCGUGCCAGCAGCCGCCGUAA
rnacentral:rRNA from 1 species